GGGGGAGCUAUACAUGCAAGUCGAGCGGACAGAUGGGAGCUUGCUCCCUGAUGUUAGCGGCGGACGGGUGAGUAACACGUGGGUAACCUGCCUGUAAGACUGGGAUAACUCCGGGAAACCGGGGCUAAUACCGGAUGGUUGUUUGAACCGCAUGGUUCAGACAUAAAAGGUGGCUUCGGCUACCACUUACAGAUGGACCCGCGGCGCAUUAGCUAGUUGGUGAGGUAACGGCUCACCAAGGCGACGAUGCGUAGCCGACCUGAGAGGGUGAUCGGCCACACUGGGACUGAGACACGGCCCAGACUCCUACGGGAGGCAGCAGUAGGGAAUCUUCCGCAAUGGACGAAAGUCUGACGGAGCAACGCCGCGUGAGUGAUGAAGGUUUUCGGAUCGUAAAGCUCUGUUGUUAGGGAAGAACAAGUGCCGUUCAAAUAGGGCGGCACCUUGACGGUACCUAACCAGAAAGCCACGGCUAACUACGUGCCAGCAGCCGCGGUAAUACGUAGGUGGCAAGCGUUGUCCGGAAUUAUUGGGCGUAAAGGGCUCGCAGGCGGUUUCUUAAGUCUGAUGUGAAAGCCCCCGGCUCAACCGGGGAGGGUCAUUGGAAACUGGGGAACUUGAGUGCAGAAGAGGAGAGUGGAAUUCCACGUGUAGCGGUGAAAUGCGUAGAGAUGUGGAGGAACACCAGUGGCGAAGGCGACUCUCUGGUCUGUAACUGACGCUGAGGAGCGAAAGCGUGGGGAGCGAACAGGAUUAGAUACCCUGGUAGUCCACGCCGUAAACGAUGAGUGCUAAGUGUUAGGGGGUUUCCGCCCCUUAGUGCUGCAGCUAACGCAUUAAGCACUCCGCCUGGGGAGUACGGUCGCAAGACUGAAACUCAAAGGAAUUGACGGGGGCCCGCACAAGCGGUGGAGCAUGUGGUUUAAUUCGAAGCAACGCGAAGAACCUUACCAGGUCUUGACAUCCUCUGACAAUCCUAGAGAUAGGACGUCCCCUUCGGGGGCAGAGUGACAGGUGGUGCAUGGUUGUCGUCAGCUCGUGUCGUGAGAUGUUGGGUUAAGUCCCGCAACGAGCGCAACCCUUGAUCUUAGUUGCCAGCAUUCAGUUGGGCACUCUAAGGUGACUGCCGGUGACAAACCGGAGGAAGGUUGGGGAUGACGUCAAAUCAUCAUGCCCCUUAUGACCUGGGCUACCCACGUGC
rnacentral:rRNA from 2 species